ACGUCCUAAGUCUAAUUAGAAAACAAAAAUAACCCAGGGAGCUUCCAAGAGAAAUUAACUGAGAUAUUCCAGGACAACAAAGUAGUUUUCAAAUAUUUGGCAACGUCGAAAAACGGAGAGAAAGUAUCAAGAAAUCACAUUCAAGCCACAUGCGCCUAUGUACCUACUUUGUUCAUUAGGAACAUAAAUAACGAAAGGCAGGGUCGGCUCAUCAAGCAACCAUUACCAACCAUCAUUUUCUGGACAUAAAAUUGAGUGAUUUUCUUCAACCCCUCAGACGCAACCCCAUCGAGCUUGAAUACCAAGCGUUGGCUCCUUGGAAAGCACAGGAAAUGGA